GCAUUAGAAAGCAUGCAACAGCACUUGUUGCUUCUGGUCUGUUUGAGGAAGCAAUUGACCCUACAGUUGCUUCACAGUGGGAGAGAGCCUUUAAAUGAGGGUAGUUUUGAAAGAAAAUAAAAAAUGGAAAUUCAGAAAAGUGUAUUUGCAGUUGGCAUGAUCUGCUGUGAAGAAGAAGGCCG